rfam:Eimeria praecox, Houghton, WGS project CBTT01000000 data, contig: Eph_contig2986_4
GCUCCCGUGGCUCAGUUGGUUAGAGCAUUGGUCUUAUGAACCGAAGGUCAGGGGUUCGAGCCCCCUCGGGAGCA